rnacentral:sRNA from 1 species
ACACACGGAAGGAGGUGGUCUGAAGUUGAUUGACAAACGGACACGUGAGGUGGUCAUCCGCUAGAGCGGUCACGCUGUAAUUCGUUUACGCGCAAGCGCUUUGGCGAAUUCCAGAUGAUCACCCGGCCCUCGCAUCACGACCCAGUCCGGUCGUAUUACUCCCGUCAACGGGAGUGGUGCGGGGGCCGUUUCAU